rnacentral:rRNA from 1 species
CCUACGGGAGGCAGCAGUAAGGAAUCUUGCGCAAUGGGCGAAAGCCUGACGCAGCGACGCCGCGUGGGCGAUGAAGGCCUUCGGGUUGUAAAGCCCUUUUCUGGGGGACGAGGAAGGACGGUACCCCAGGAAUAAGUCACGGCUAACUACGUGCCAGCAGCCGCGGUAAUACGUAGGGGGCGAGCGUUGUCCGGAUUUACUGGGUGUAAAGGGUGCUCAGGCGGGUCUGUAAGUCAGGGGUGAAAUCCCAGGGCUUAACUCUGAAACUGCCUUUGAUACUGCAGUUCUCGAGUUUGGGAGAGGCGAGGGGAAUAUCUGGUGUAGCAGUGAAAUGCGUAGAUAUCAGAUAGAACACCAAUGGCGAAGGCGGCUCGCUGGCCCAAUACUGACGCUAAAGCACGAAAGCGUGGGAAGCAAACAGGAUUAGAUACCCCGGUAGU